rnacentral:rRNA from 1 species
CAUGCCUAACACAUGCAAGUCGAACGGAAACGAUGCUAGCUUGCUAGCAGGCGUCGAGUGGCGGACGGGUGAGUAAUGUAUAGGGAUCUGCCUAGUAGUGGGGGACAACAUGUGGAAACGCAUGCUAAUACCGCAUACGCUCUACGGAGGAAAGUGGGGGACCUUUCGGGGCCUCAUGCUACUAGAUGAACCUAUAUUGGAUUAGCUUGUUGGUAAGGUAAUGGCUUACCAAGGCUACGAUCCAUAGCUGGUUUGGGAGAAUGAUCAGCCACACUGGGACUGAGACACGGCCCAGACUCCUACGGGAGGCAGCAGUGGGGAAUAUUGCACAAUGGGCGCAAGCCUGAUGCAGCAAUGCCGCGUGUGUGAAGAAGGCCUUAGGGUUGUAAAGCACUUUCAGACGUGAGGAAAAGUAAUAAUUUAAUAAAUUGUUACCUUGACGUUAACGUCAGAAGAAGGACCGGCUAACUCCGUGCCAGCAGCCGCGGUAAUACGGAGGGUCCAAGCGUUAAUCGGAAUUACUGGGCGUAAAGCGCGCGUAGGCGGAUAUUUAAGUCAGAUGUGAAAUCCCUGGGCUCAACCUAGGAACUGCAUUUGAUACUGGAUAUCUAGAGUAUGGUAGAGGUGAGUGGAAUUUCAGGUGUAGCGGUGAAAUGCGUAGAGAUCUGAAGACAUCAGUGGCGAAGGCGACUCACUGGGCCAUUACUGACGCUGAGGUGCGAAAGCGUGGGUAGCAAACAGGAUUAGAUACCCUGGUAGUCCACGCCCUAAACGAUGUCAACUAGGUGUAUGGGAGUUUAACUCCUGUGUAUCGAAGCUAACGCGAUAAGUUGACCGCCUGGGGAGUACGGUCGCAAGACUAAAACUCAAAUGAAUUGACGGGGGCCCGCACAAGCGGUGGAGCAUGUGGUUUAAUUCGAUGCAACGCGAAGAACCUUACCUGGUCUUGACAUGUAGCGAAGGUUUUAGAGAUAGAACUGUGCCUUCGGGAACGCUAACACAGGUGCUGCAUGGCUGUCGUCAGCUCGUGUCGUGAGAUGU